rnacentral:lncRNA from 1 species
AGAAGGAUGAACAUUGGAGCAAGAACAAGCAUGGAGAUGAUGGCAUGCGCAAGGGGAACAAGAACGGAGUUACAUGUGAUGAUUUCAGGACGUGGAAGCCACCAUAAUGAGUGCAUGAAGCCUUGGAUGAAAUAUACAAGAUGCUACUUCAUAACUUACAUCCAGAGGCUAUUCUAGGUGUUGCGUCACCUUAUUAUUGGGUCAGGCCCAUGUAAUUUCAAAAUACAUAAGUAUAGGCUAUUUUUAGAGUUCGUAUGUGUGGGGAAACAAGAGAUAGGGUCUGUUUCGGACCCCCUCCACCAAGGGCCACGAAAUUCCCCCCUCUUCCUCCAUAUAUACAGCCCUUAGGGCACCGUUUAGACUUUGGGUUUUGUUUAGAUUAAAAGUUCACCAUAGCUGCAACUUCGCGUACUUCAUUUGUGUUCAACGACCAGACCAAGAUGUCACAGAACUCCAUCUUGAUUAAUAAAUCUUUCAUCUUAUAUUCGCAAUAUUCAGAUUGCAAUCUCAGUUUCUUGCUAGUUCUUCGUUUGCUCGCGGGAAAUAUACCCUCGUGGUCACGUUGAUCGUGCUCCGACGUGGUCAAUAACCUCUCGGAAUUGUUUUAGCGAUUGUUAAGGCACGAUGUCCUCGCACGUACGUAGUCGGAUCGUCAAAGUAUACUCCUCCAAAACGAUAAUCACCAUCUCAUCGAAAUACGGGACACCUUUGCCUCUAUCAAUUUGAUCCCAUGUGGUGAUUGGUGGUUCACCUCUUGCUUCUCGUCGCUCAAGGACUUGUUCCCACCAUAUGAGCACAUAGUCUUAGAACUCAAGUGACGCCAUGGCGAUCUUCUUCUCUUCCGCAUAGUUGUGCAAGCGAAAGAUCUUGUCGACCUUCAAUGCAAAUGAUAUGUAUUCUUCGGGAUCAUUGCUCCCGGUGAACUUGGGUAUGGUGAACUUGAGCUUGCCAUAGCUUUGCUCUUCAUUGUGUUGGGGUCAGGGAUGAUGAUGGCGCCCUUGACGUGGAUGAUUGUCAACCUCAGAUUGCUCUUGGGCUGGUUCUUGUCGAGCUUGUGGAUGAGUUUGUCGAUGUACUCUUGCUUGAUAGUUCCUCUCUUGGACUUCUUCAUGGUGCGCUUCUUGUUGCUCACGUGCAUGCUGGUUGCACGUGGCUACGGCUCGACUUGAUUCUCAGAGGGCGCAUUUGGGCUUCAAGUGAUUGAGCUUCAAGUCGUUGUUGUUCUAGACAUUGUGCCUCGGCAUCUUGUGCGUCUUGGUGUAGUCGCGCUCGCUCUUGCUCUUCUUCUUGGCAUUGGCGUUUCGUUUCUUGUUCUUGCGUGAAGGUAGCUUGAUUUUGACGAUGUCAAUGUUCUUGUGCUAGAAGUUGCUAUUGAGAUUCGAUAUCAUGAAGAGGAUUGCGAUUUGCUUGACGGUCUUGGCGCGCGGCUCGACGUAGAGUGUUUGAUGUCGGUGUACUUGAGCUGGAGAGCGUGUCGUCGGAGUGUCGACUCGAGCGGCCCCGUCUUGAGUAGGACGAAGUGGUAGAAGAGCGGUUUACCAACAAGGCAUGAAUCUCAUCCAUUCUUGCAUCGUUCUCUUGUUUGUGUGCAUCAAGCUUGUUGUCGAAGUAGUUUCUUGCUCGCUGCUCAGAGAGUUGCAAGUCGGUGGUGAGAUUGUUGACGCAGUCGCUCAUUGCUUGUUGUUCUUGAUGUAAAGCUCGUUGUGCACCAAAGAGGUGGCUCUUGGUGACAUAGGAUGACAUGUCAUCGUCUUGCUCGAUGAAGAGUGGGUUGGUAGAAGUACUUGACCUAUCCAUCAUUCCAAGCAAAUAUGUGAGUGGGAGCCAGAGAAGAACUUAUACCAAAUGUAACUUGACCGAUGUUGAAGAUGGAUCAAUUAUCACUCAAUUGUAUAUAAAGGAAAUAUCACAAUUGGUACCAAUUCUUGUCGGUGCUCACACCUACACAAGUAAAGCUUAAAGUGGAGCUCAGUUAGGAUGGUGGCACAAAAUUUCAUGCAAUUGUUAGUGAGACUCAAUAAUGUUGAAAAAGAUUUGCAAUUUGCAAAAGCACCAAGUAGACCAAUCAAGUAGUGGUACACGGAAACACACACGCAAAUAGAUAAAUGGGGAUGUGCAACCAAAAAUGAGCUUAAAAUGUGGGAUCCACGGAAAAUGCUCUUGUUGCACAACUCUAGAGAGACGGUAGCACGGUUGCACAAUAAGCGGAUACGAGACUUGUGCACAACCUACUAAGCAAAAAUGUAACGACUACUAUCCCAAGUAUGCUAUAUGUAUGGUAUUCCGAUGAUAUGAUCCAAGAUGAUAGAGUAUGACAAUCUUAAUGUUGUAUGAUGCUAUGGUUCUUGCUUAAAAGCUCUUUGCUUAUAUUUUGCUUUUGCUUAAAAGCUUGUUUGGUUCUUUCUCUUUUAAGCUCUUUUGAUGGCUACUUAUGCAAAACUACACGAACCAAGAUAGCAAUUGUGUAUAUGCUAUGAAAAUCGUGUGAUACAAUAGAUGAUACCAAGAUAUGCACCACAAUGAUAUGGUAUGUAUGCUAUGGGAAGUAUGACCACUAAUGUGCACAAGUAACAUUGCCGGCAAUACUCAAAGGCUAGUAUCGAGAGGCAAGGUACACAAAAUGGGCUAUGGUGGUUAUCAAUGCAAUGGCAAGAAUGGUGAUGUAUCUCAAUACCAAGAUGAUGAUGAGGUUACCGUUUCUUGCUUAUGGUGAAGGUGUCAAAAUGCUGAAGUGGUCGAUGUCGAGUCCUUGGCGAAGAUGAGCGGUGGUGAUGUCGAUGUAGAACCGUUCCUAGUUAGCCGAAACACCCUAGGAAACGAUGAACCACAACUCAAAUUCUCAAAGACCAAAUCUGUCCAAAUUUGUCGGAGUGCGAAACGGGUAAGCGAUGGUGGUUGCGGGAAGUGGUGGUUGCAUGCAAGUGCAUAUGCAGAAAGGUGGUAAUGGAGUGCGGUUGCUGAUGAGGACAUCAAUACCAUUGUUACACCCACAUCCCUUGCUUCUAUACAUACUGGACCAAUUACUAGAGCUCUGGUAUGCCAAUUAAAUUACCAGGUACUUUCGUUUCUUGGUAAUGAUUCUAAUGUUCAUGAGAAUAUGAUGCUGCCUAAAUUGGAUACAUUUGUUUUGCUCACAAAUGAAGGGCCUAGCUUGGAGAAGGACGAACAUUGGAGCAAGAACAAGCAUGGAGAUGAUGGCAUGCGCAAGGAGAACAAGAACGGAGUUACAAGUGAUGAUUUUAGGACCUUGAAGCCACCAUAAUGAGUGCAUGAAGCCUUGGACGAAAUAUACAAGAUGCUACUUCAUAUUUUUCGUCCAUAGGCUAUUCUAGGUGCUGCGUCACCUUAUUAUUGGG